rnacentral:rRNA from 1 species
UACGUAGGGACCAAGCGUUGUUCGGAUUUACUGGGCGUAAAGGGCUCGUAGGCGGCCAACUAAGUCAUACGUGAAAUCCCUCGGCUUAACCGGGGAACUGCGUCCGAUACUGGCGGGCUUGAAUCCGGGAGAGGGAUGCGGAAUUCCAGGUGUAGCGGUGAAAUGCGUAGAUAUCUGGAGGAACACCGGUGGCGAAGGCGACUACCUGGCCUGUUUCUUGACGCUGAGGCGCGAAAGCUAGGGGAGCAAACGGG